CCUACGGGUGGCAGCAGUGAGGAAUAUUGGUCAAUGGGCGCGAGCAUGAACCAGCCAAGUAGCGUGAAGGAUGACUGCCCUACGGGUUGUAAACUUCUUUUAUAAAGGAAUUAAGUGAGGCACGUGUGACUUUUUGUAUGUACUUUAUGAAUAAGGAUAGGCUAACUCAGUGCCAGCAGCCGCGGUAAUACGGAGGAUCCGAGCGUUAUCCGGAUUUAUUGGGUUUGAAGGGAACGUAUAUGGGUUGUUAUGUCAGUUGUGAAAGUUUGCGGCUCAAACGUAAAAUUGCAAUUGAUACUGGCAGCCUUGAGUACAGUAGAGGUAGGCGGAAUUCGUGGUGUAGCGGUGAAAUGCUUAGAUAUCACGAAGAACUCCGAUUGCGAAGGCAGCCUACUAAACUGCCACUGACAUUGAUGCUCGAAAGUGUGGGUAUCAAACAGGAUUAGAUACCCGAGUAGUC
rnacentral:rRNA from 1 species